GAUGAACGCUGGCGGCGUGCCUAAUACAUGCAAGUCGAGCGAACAGACGAGGAGCUUGCUCCUCUGACGUUAGCGGCGGACGGGUGAGUAACACGUGGAUAACCUACCUAUAAGACUGGGAUAACUUCGGGAAACCGGAGCUAAUACCGGAUAAUAUAUUGAACCGCAUGGUUCAAUAGUGAAAGACGGUUUUGCUGUCACUUAUAGAUGGAUCCGCGCCGCAUUAGCUAGUUGGUAAGGUAACGGCUUACCAAGGCGACGAUGCGUAGGCGACCUGAGAGGGUGAUCGGCCACACUGGAACUGAGACACGGUCCAGACUCCUACGGGAGGCAGCAGUAGGGAAUCUGCCGCAACGGGCGAAAGCCUGACGGAGCAACGCCGCGUGAGUGAUGAAGGUCUUCGGAUCGUAAAACUCUGUUAUUAGGGAAGAACAAAUGUGUAAGUAACUAUGCACGUCUUGACGGUACCUAAUCAGAAAGCCACGGCUAACUACGUG
rnacentral:rRNA from 1 species